rnacentral:rRNA from 1 species
GUGGGUGGCAAGCGUUGUCCGGAAUUAUUGGGCGUAAAGCGCGCGCAGGCGGUUCUUUAAGUCUGAUGUGAAAGCCCACAGCUCAACCGUGGAGGGUCAUUGGAAACUGGAGAACUUGAGUACAGAAGAGGAAAGCGGAAUUCCACGUGUAGCGGUGAAAUGCGUAGAGAUGUGGAGGAACACCAGUGGCGAAGGCGGCUUUCUGGUCUGUAACUGACGCUGAGGCGCGAAAGCGUGGGGAGCAAACAGGAUUAGAUACCCUGGUAGUCCACGCCGUAAACGAUGAGUGCUAAGUGUUAGGGGGGUUUCCGCCCCCCUUAGUGCUGCAGCUAACGCAUUAAGCACUCCGCCUGGGAGUACGGCCGCAAGGCUG